UCUAGUCAGAGCCCUCUGAUCUUCUCUCUUCAGCACUGAGGAGUCAAGAUGUUCAGACUUUUUAUUUGGGUCACAGCGAUGCUGAACUGGUUGACAGCUUCUUCCAAGGUUCUCAAUGUCCUGCAGUCUCCUUCUGAGCUGUUUAAGAAGCCUGAGGAAUCUGCUGAAUUCAGCUGUAGUCAUGAUGACACUAACUACGACAAAAUGUACUGGUACCGGAAAGAGAAUGGAGAAGGAACCCUUACACUCAUAGGAUAUCUCAGCUUUAAGCAAGUAUUCCCUGAACCUGAAUUCAGUGGAAAGUUCAAUAUAACUGGAGAUGCAGAAAAGGAAAGUUUUUUGCAGACCUCUGCAGUAACACCUGCAGACAACGCUGUGUAUUUCUGUGCAGUCAGUAAACACAGUGCUACAGAUCACCUCUAUUCUCUGACAAAAACCCUUGGGUCUCACCGGCAUGAACAGCAGAACACAUUCUCACCACACCUGCCUCACAUGAGUUUAAUUGUGACUGUACAUAAGUAA